CAGUCGCCGCGGUAAAACGAGGGGAGCUAGGGUUGUUCGGAAUUACUGGGCGUAAAGCGCGCGUAGGCGGCUUUUUAAGUCAGAGGUGAAAGCCCGGGGCUCAACCCCGGAAUUGCCUUUGAAACUGGAAAGCUAGAAUCUUGGAGAGGUCAGUGGAAUUCCGAGUGUAGAGGUGAAAUUCGUAGAUAUUCGGAAGAACGCCAGUGGCGAAGGCGACUGACUGGACAAGUAUUGACGCUGAGGUGCGAAAGCGUGGGGAGCAAACAGGAUUAGAUACCCCUGUAGUCCCUGUCUCUUAUAC
rnacentral:rRNA from 1 species